rnacentral:lncRNA from 1 species
UCUCCAGUGUAAACAAGCAGGGAGAGGAAAGGAUGGCCCAGUGCGGCACAGCCCGAGCACAGCACAGCUCGCAGGACCCUGAGGACGCGCUGAUAGCGAGGACUGGCAGGACUGGUUGCAGCUCUGCAGAGAGCUCAUGGGCUCAUUUACUCUGGGGAAGACUCUGCAAAGUGACCGUGGCACGGCUUUUCUUUCUCCUGAAAACUCCCUUUCUGCAUUAAAUGCCCCAGAUGGGUGAAGACUUCCCCAGCCCCGGGAGCCCCAGCUGAGCUCUUACGGAGGCUUCUGACCCAGCCCAGCCAAGAGCUUCGUGCGGGUUGGGGACGUGAGUGGGGCUGCGGCAGGAUGUACGCCAAGAGCUCCCACCUCAAGGCCCGCUGCCGUCGGCACAGCGAGGAGAAGCCCUACCCGUGUGCUUGGCCCAGCUGCGGCUGGCGGUGAGUAGGAGCCGCGGGCAGCACUGCCAGGGGGCACACGUUGCCUGCCGGGCUGCGGGAGGGCUCGCGGGUAGUGAAAGGCCAGGGUAAAAUCACAGGUUUUCUUCCCCAAAUGAAUUUUGGGUGAGACCUGUAAGGAGGCCUGGAGGAGAAAAGUGUUUUGAGUGACCCUGGGUAGUUUUCGUUCAGUCUGCACCUGCUGAAAAGCUCCAACCGGAGAAGCCAGUCUGACCCUGUCCCAGACACCCCAAACCCCUCAAGAGACGAGCAGAUCCCUGAAUGCCCUCGGGCAAUACAGCUUUCCCAAGGGAUUUUGUAACUUUGCAAGCUUUCUCUGCCUGCUUCAGGAUAAUUUCUGCAGUUGGGCUACAAAAGGGGUUCCUCCAAUUAAUAUUUCUCCCAGAAAAUAGGAGUCCCACUGCAUCCUCAGGAGCCAGCACGUAGUUCUGUGUCGGUUUAGCAUCUCUUUGCUUUAUCCUGCUGUUCGCCUGCGCCGGCUGCUUGUAUCCCUCACCUGCAGCAUAUCUUUGUCAUGCAUUUACUUUUGUUCGCUCUGUGCCUGGUAGUGGUUGUCGUUUUCUUUCAUCUCUGUUCCCUAAAUUAACCAUGCUUCUUAAUUGUGCUGCACAUCUCUGAUUGCUUUCUGCUGUGGUGUUCUCUUCCUGGUCCCGGGGGGCAGGAUGCUCAGCACAGCCUUUGGGAAGGAGGAUUAGUAGUCCUCAGGUCUCGUGUAGCACUUUCCAUCAGCAGAUCUCAAAGCACAUCACAAAGGAGACUGGUGCUGGCAGCACCG